UGAGUAGUGUCUAUAAAGAGGGGGAAGCUUAUGAGAGAGCGUCAGAUACUCAGAAUUUUGUUUUGCCUUCUUCUUUCUCUGUUUGGCGUAUUUCUCUCGAUCGCUAUUUCAUGACGAACGACGAUUUGUUUAUCACUGUAAGAAUUCUUCUAAUUCUCUUGAUUUCUAGGGUUUAUUAAUUUAACUAUUAUCAGUUCUUUCUCUGUUUCUCAUGUUUCUCUCGAUCGAAUCAUCCAUGCCCGGAGAAGUUUUGUAGCGAUAACCACUGUAAGAAUUCUUCCAAUUCUCUUGAUUUCUAGGGUUUCUAAAUUUCACUAUUAUCAUGUUUUUUGUUUUGUUCUUUUGGUUUUCUUUUCGUGGCUUUGAUAUUUGCAAAACCAAACGAAUCGCGACUCUGCGUUUCAAAGUUUCAGUGAAUUAAAGGUUGUUUCUUUGUUUCUGUUUGGUUUGGUUAUCGUUUUGUUUUGUUUUGUUUUGUUUUUGUAGCGCUUUGUAUAAUUUAGCGAUCGGUUGUGGUUUUAUUGCUAUUGUUUUGCUGUUUUGUUUUGUUAGAUUUCUUCCAUUGUAUUGUUUUUCUUUCUAACCCAAGAGAGAUCAUAGGCAGACACUCAACUAUUAGUGUUCUGUCAGAUUCUUUCUUGGGGACAUUGUCCCGUCGAGUUGGCUUAUGAGGGAUUUUGACCUGAGACUGAAAACCGAUCCUUUACCCACGGCUUAUUAUUUAGACAAAUAUACUUUGGAUUGGGUUCAGUUUUCUGGUCAAAGAUCAAGUUACCCACGGCUUUAAACUUUAGUCUUUAGACUGAGACUUGAGACUGAACAUUGAUCAUUCUUGGUACCCACGGCUUUAAAAUCUCUAGACAUAUGGAUCAUGUUCGGUUUCUUGUUUGAGUCUUUAGACAAAGAAACCCACGGCUUAAAAAAUGCCAAGUCUUUAGACAGAGACUUGAGAUUCAAAAACACCAAUCCUUUAGACAAAACAUUGGAUUGGGUUAUGUUUGGUGCAAGGAAAAUGGUACCCACGGCUUAAGACUUUAGACAGAGACUGAGACUGAAUAUUGAUCCUUCUUGGUACCCACGGCUUGAAAAUCACUAGACAUAUGGAUCAUGUUUGGUUUCUUGUUUCAGUCUUUAGCCAACACGGCUUCAAAAAUGACAGGUCUUCAGACAGAGACUUGAGGGACAAAACACUGGAAUGGGUUAUGUUUGGUGCAAGGAAAAUGGUACCAUACGGCUUAAAACUUUAGUCUUUAGACUGAGACUUGAGACUGAACAUAGAUCUUUCUUGGUACCCACGGCUUGAAAAUCUCUAGACAUAUGGAUCAUGUUCGAUUUCUUGUUUCAGUCUUUAGACAACAGUUACACACGGCUUAAAAAAUGACAAGUCUUUAGACAGAGACUUGAGAUUCAAAUACACCAA